rnacentral:lncRNA from 1 species
GCUGCAGUGGCGAGAUGCGGCCAGGCCGCCGGGCGGCGGAGGCGGCCCCGAGCCAUCCUGCCUGCCGCCCCGGUCGCUUUCCCGUUUUUAUUACAUUUAGGCCUUUUUUCUCCCCCCCCCCUUCCCCCUCUUUUCUCCAGACUAACUUGAAGGCCCGGAAGUGCCGCCCCCGGGCGCUCCUGAGUGGUCGGUUACGCUCGCCGCCCGCCGGGGAUAGGCCGCGGAUGCCGUCAGCGGCUGGCUCUGUUUUCAAGAUGUCUUUGCUAAGAAGGGGACUGUAAGUCACAUCUGUCUG